GGGGAAUUUUGGACAAUGGGCGCAAGCCUGAUCCAGCCAUGCCGCGUGUCUGAAGAAGGCCUUCGGGUUGUAAAGGACUUUUGUCAGGGAAGAAAAGGACAGGGUUAAUACCUCUGUUUGAUGACGGUACCUGAAGAAUAAGCACCGGCUAACUACGUGCCAGCAGCCGCGGUAAUACGUAGGGUGCGAGCGUUAAUCGGAAUUACUGGGCGUAAAGCGAGCGCAGACGGUUACUUAAGCAGGAUGUGAAAUCCCCGGGCUCAACCUGGGAACUGCGUUCUGAACUGGGUGACUAGAGUGUGUCAGAGGGAGGUAGAAUUCCACGUGUAGCAGUGAAAUGCGUAGAGAUGUGGAGGAAUACCGAUGGCGAAGGCAGCCUCCUGGGAUAACACUGACGUUCAUGCUCGAAAGCGUGGGUAGCAAACAGGAUUAGAUACCCUGGUAGUCCACGCCCUAAACGAUGUCAAUUAGCUGUUGGGCAACUUGAUUGCUUAGUAGCGUAGCUAACGCGUGAAAUUGACCGCCUGGGGAGUACGGUCGCAAGAUUA
rnacentral:rRNA from 1 species